rnacentral:lncRNA from 1 species
GGUAAUUGAUUGACCAAUCAGCAGUCAGCCUCGUAGACGUAACAGCCAAUGGAAAGCCACAGAUCUCAGCUGAUUUAUCACCUCGCUCUAUCAAAAGUAAACAAUGCCACGAAAGGUCCUACUCAAACGAAAAGAAGGCCAAAUUUCCCAGAUGAGUAGAUGUUGGCUCUAAUAGAAGCUGUGGUCAAGAGGAGGAGUGUGGUUCUGGAGAAAAAGACCACAAAAUUUACCGGACAAGUGAUAAAUAAUGCCUGGGAGUGUGUGACUAGUGAGGUGAAUCUUGUCGCUCGCGUUCCGAGGACUUUGGCGGAAACGCGUAGGAAGUUGACAGACCUCAGAGCAGCCGUGAAAAAGAGAAACACAAGAGAAGUAAUACAUGGAAAGAACAGAUGGUGGCCCAGCAGUUCUUACAAACUAUACAGCAGUUGAAGAAGCUAUGUUAGCUCUGAUUGAGGCUUUUAUUAUUUCUGGCUUACCAGGGCCUAUGAAAAUGAGACAGAAGUAGAUGAACCAACCCCUGGGCCAUCUGGGAUAGCAUCUCAACCCAUAAUGGAUUCUGAAGUUAUUGUAACAAUGGAUGAGAACACUUUGGAGGAGCAAGAAGUUACAGUACCCAUUGUAACAAUGGACUACACAUACUCUGCGGAAUUACCCCAUUUCUUCACAGAAGAGUAACUAUAAAGAUGGAUUUAGCCGAGACAGUGCAGUGGUCCAAGAGAGAGAGACCUUUCAAGAACUGAGCAGGUCAAGCUUUAAUCUUUCUGAUGCUGUCAUAUAAGAUUUUGGUUUAUUUGUUACUGAGACAGAGCAAUAUUUGAUUUAGAUUUUUUCCUUCUCUAAAUUUUGUAGAGUUCAGGAGAAAGCAAAUUUUAUUUAAUUCUAUUCUAAUAUUAAUUCAAAAUAGUUACAUGGUUUCAGAGACAGCUUUAUUUUAAUUAUGUUAUUAUAUUCCUUUAUUUGCAUUAUAUUCUUUUAUUUGCAUAUUUUUUAUGCAUAAAACUUGUUAUUUGUGCAAUAUACAUUAUUUGCCCACAAAGGUUUUUAUUGAUUUUGUUUCAAAGGCAGUAACUGUCUUGUGGUCAUAAGGCAAUAUGAAAAGUGUCAGUACAUUUUGUAUAUAUAGAUUUUUUUACACUA